UAGCCUCUGUGUCCUUUCCAGGGAUGAAGCUUGGCCUGAGACUCCACUUUGGGAUCCUGGCUGAGCACUGAUGCUGCAAGAGGGGAAUAAAGAAAGGAUCUUCUUUGCUUCAGGAAAAACAAACUACAACCAGGCCUCAAAGCCUUUUGAUUUCACAGAGAGAGUUUUGGCAACUUGCUCUCUUUCUCUGAUGGUACCCAGGGCAGAAUUCCCACCAAUACAAAGCAUAUCAUUGCUUCAGAACCCAGGGGCUACAAUGAGCCAAAAGAAUGGUCAGUGAGAACUUUAGGUAUCUCCUGGACUGAUGAUUUAAACAAAACACUCCAAAGUAGUGAAAUAAGGUUUAGGAGCCACAGAAACAAGUUGAGACCAUAAAUAAUAAGACCGAUUCCAUAGGAAAGCUGGGCUAAUUAGCAUAAGCUGAUAUUGCAAAUUGGUGCCUCACAGGUUAAAUGUGGCUUGCACAUAUUUCAUUUGGUCCACAUGUUGUAUUUAAAAUUUAGUUGCCAACAUUAACAAUUUUGAAAAUUUCAAUUAAAAUUUAGAUUUCAUGGGCCAGGCACGGUGGCAUACACCUGUAAUCCCAGCAUUAUAGGAGGCUGAGGUGGGUGGAUCACUUGAACCCAGGAGUUUGAGAUCAGCCUAGGCAACAUGGUGAAACGCCAUCUGUACAAAAAAUACAAAAAUUAGCCGGGUGUGGUGGUGUGCGCCUAUAGUCCCAGCUACUUGGGAGGCUAAGGUGAGAGGAUCACUUGAGCUUGGGAGGUUGAGGCUGCAGUGAGCUGAGAUUGUGCCACUGCACCCCAGCCUGGGCAAGAGAGAGCCUGUCUAAAAAAAAGGUUGGAUUUCUGGCUUCCCUUGAAAAAUCAGAAAGACCAGGUAACACUUCAUGGUACUCAUUGUCUGGAAGUGAGCAGCAGCUGCCCCUGCUUUCCAACUUUCACAGCCCCAUUCUCUCCCUUGCAUUAGAACAGGCCUGUCUUGCAACUUAUGUCACCUGUCUGUAUUCUGUAGGCUUUUGAGUCUGGAUCCCUGAAAUAUGGUCACAUGGUAUCUGCUUCAGAAAUGCUGGGAUGAUAGAUUCUGGCUUAGUGAGCUUGAGACAAGAUGGGUAAAAGGCUAUGAGGCAACCCCAAUUCCGAUUUAAGGGUUUCUAUGGAGAAAUGGGGAUGAAAGAAGAGUCACCCAUAGCUGCUGGGGUUGGAGGAGCGGGGUAGUCCUAUGAGACUGGGGAACUUUAGUGGGUCGAUGGGUUUAUCUUGGUAGCCCUUAUGCUGGAUGUGGGAAAGACUGUUUCCUAGAGUUGCCUGGAGUGCACUGCCCUGCUGCAGUGCCUGUCCAACCAGAGGCUGGUGGGAGGACAGGAGACAGAAGAUUCAGAUCAUGUUGGCACCUGUUCCUUUCAUCUUGCCCUACGUAAGCUUGGGCGUUUUUUUUUUUUUCUUU
rnacentral:lncRNA from 10 species